AGCAGCCGCGGUAAUUCCAGCUCCAAUAGCGUAUAUUAAAGUUGUUGCAGUUAAAAAGCUCGUAGUUGAAUUUCGGGGUCAGUAGGUUGGUCGUGCCACUGGUAUGCACUGGCUUCACUGAUUCCUCCUUCUUGUAGAACCGUAAUGCCAUUAAUUUGGUGUUUCGGGGAAACAGGACUGUUACUUUGAAAAAAUUAGAGUGUUUAAAGCAGGCUAACGCCUGAAUACAUUAGCAUGGAAUAAUGAAAUAGGACGUUCGACCCUAUUUUGUUGGUUUCUAGGAUUGACGUAAUGAUUAAUAGGGAUAGUUGGGGGCAUUAGUAUUCAAUUGUCAGAGGUGAAAUUCUUGGAUUUAUUGAAGACUAACUACUGCGAAAGCAUUUGCCAAGGAUGUUUUCAUUAAUCAAGAACGAAAGUUAGGGGAUCGAAGACGAUCAGAUACCGUCGUAGUCUUAACCAUAAACUAUGCCGACUAGGGAUCGGAUGAUGUUAAUUUUUAAUGACUCAUUCGGCGCCUUAC
rnacentral:rRNA from 1 species